AGUACAUCUUCCCAAAUCGAAAAGAACAAAAGACAAAACCUCACUCGGAAACAAAAAACUCUCCCAUACAAAUACAUCAUCCUCUCUCUUUCUUUCUCUCUAUCUCUUCAUGCAGACAUGAGAGUCCUCGCCAUCUCCAAGCUGCCUCUCCUCCUCAAGCCCUUCGCCCUCUCCCUCCUCCUCUCCCUCUCCGUCGUCCUCCUCCUCCUCUCCUCCCAAACCCCCCUCCGCCGUAGCCCCUCCGCCGCCGCCCACCCGCCGCCCGCCUCCUCCGGUGCCGUCUCCGGCGGCGGCGGCGGCGGGGGCGGCGGCAUCCGAAUCCGCUCCGGGUACACCUCCUACGAGGCCUACAUCCAGCACCAGCUCAACAAGACGCUCAACCCCAACCUCCGCAAGAUCUGGACCACCCGCGACUGGGACCGCAAGGUCCGCGUCUUCGCCCGCUUCUUCGACAGCCUGAAGCGCCGCGGCCUCCUCGCCGAGUCGUGGAGGGCGCUCUCCAUCGGGGCGCGGGUCGGCCAGGAGGUGGCGGCGCUGAAGCUGGUGGGCGUGAACGACUCGAUCGGGAUCGAUCUGGUGCCCCGCCCGCCGCUGGUGGUGGAGGGCGACUUCCACGCGCAGCCCUUCCCGAACGCGACGUUCGACUUCGAGUUCUCGAACGUGUUCGACCACGCGCUGUACCCCUGGAAGUUCGUCGGGGAGGUGGAGCGGACGCUGCGGCCCGGGGGAUCUGCGUGCUGCACGUGACGGUCCGGCACCGGACGGACAAGUACUCGGCCAACGACCUUUACAGCCUGGAUCCGCUGGUGGAGAUGUUCCGGGAGUCGGAGCUGGUGGAGUCGAGGAGCAUCGACGGGUUCGGCCUCGACACUGAGGUCGUUUUCAGGAAGAAGACGAAGCAGCAAAGCCGCAGGUCGUGAUUCACAUUCUUUACACGCUCAUUCGUUCCCUUUUUCCCUUGUCUUUUUUCGUUCCAUAGAUUCGUUAUUCUUGAUCAUCUGGGAAAAAUCCACGCAACCCAGAUCGAAGAUAGAGAUUGUAAACACACAAAUUCAUGAAUUUUCCUCCCUCUGUAACUUUUCUCGGGAAGAUCUUCGGGAAAAAUUGCUGGAAAGAUGAGGUGGGACGUUUGUGGUUCUUGCUAAAUCUCCAAGCGAUGACAAGAGAUGGGUCAUCGCUCAUCGUUCACGGGGAUUUCCAAAACGGGUUCUCACUGGAUCUUGACGUCGAUCCGGCCUCGGCUCCCCAAAUAUAGAAUUUCUAUUAAAUUUCAUAAAUUUCAAGGAAUCACCGAGAUGGGUCUUUGAGAUUUCAGCUGUUUAAUGUACAUCCAGAAUUCAAAAUCAAAGCUUUGUUUCUGCUCUUUUCACGGGAGCAUGCAAGCAGAGCUUGUUUUCGACGAUUCUUGGUAUCUGGGAGUACAUCUCUAAAGCUCUGGCGGACGGAAUUCGGGGUUCUGACACAAGCGAUUCGAUCGUCGUCGACUCUGGCACGUGUGAAUGAUAGAGAGAGAGAGAGAGAGAGAGAGAGAGAGAAAUUUGAUUUUGGGAGUGGUUGGCAAUUGAUGUGGAACCGAAGAAUGUAGGCCCACGCCGCCCGAGGCAAGGAUGUCGGGUCAUGCAUUCAUUUAUAAUAUAGCUUUUUAGCUAGGGCAUAGGUGGUUGGUUUGCGUGCGUUACGAGGGAUCCAUGUGACUCCCAAUUUUCAUCCUCAUGCGAAAGUGCGUGAAUUUUAAAGUAUAGUUGACAAAAAUUAUGUCUUUUAGUCAACUGUGAUGUAAGUAAAUACGACCGCAAGGGGUGGAAGAAUGUAUGUAUUUAAAUUAA